UACGAAGGGGGCUAGCGUUGCUCGGAAUCACUGGGCGUAAAGCGCACGUAGGCGGCUUUUUAAGUCAGGGGUGAAAUCCUGGAGCUCAAUUCCAGAACUGCCUUUGAUACUGAGAAGCUUGAGUCCGGGAGAGGUGAGUGGAACUGCGAGUGUAGAGGUGAAAUUCGUAGAUAUUCGCAAGAACACCAGUGGCGAAGGCGGCUCACUGGCCCGGUACUGACGCUGAGGUGCGAAAGCGUGGGGAGCAAACAGG
rnacentral:rRNA from 1 species